rnacentral:rRNA from 1 species
UACAGAGGUCUCAAGCGUUGUUCGGAUUCAUUGGGCGUAAAGGGUGCGUAGGUGGCGCUGUAAGUCGGGUGUGAAAUUUCGGAGCUUAACUCCGAAACUGCAUUCGAUACUGCGGUGCUUGAGGACUGGAGAGGCAGGUGGAAUUCCGGGUGUAGCGGUGGAAUGCGUAGAGAUCCGGAAGAACACCGGUGGCGAAGGCGGCCUGCUGGGCAGUAGCUGACGCUGAGGCGCGACAGCGUGGGGAGCAAACAGG